AACAUGUNUUUUUGAUUUAAUUAAUUUAAAGUCUAAUCUGCCCACUGAUUUAUUGAUUAAAGGGCUGCAGUAAUUUGACUGUACAAAGGUAGCAUAAUCAUUAGUCUUUUAAUUGGAGACUUGUAUGAAAGAUUUGAUGAAAUAUAAACUGUCUCUAAUUUAUUAUUAUUAGAAUUUAAUUUUUUAGUUAAAAAGCUAAAAUAAAUUUAAAAGACGAGAAGACCCUAUAGAGUUUAAUAGUUUUUAAUUUAAAAUAUUUAUAUAAAAUUUUAAUAUUUAAUUUUAUAAAUUAUUUUGUUGGGGUGAUAAAAAAAUAAAAAAAACUUUUUUUUUAAAUUUUCAUAGAUAAGUGAAUAAUUGAUCCAUUUUAAUGAUUAUAAGAAAAAAUUACCUUAGGGAUAACAGCGUAAUAUUUUUUUUUAGUACAAAUAAAAAAAAAAGUUUGCGACCUCGAUGUUGGAUUAAGAUAAAAUUUAAAUGCAAAAGUUUAAAAUUUUGAUCUGUUCGAUCAUUAAAAUCUUACAUGAUC
rnacentral:rRNA from 1 species